rnacentral:rRNA from 1 species
AUUGAACGCUGGCGGCAUGCCUUACACAUGCAAGUCGAACGGCAGCACGGGAGCAAUCCUGGUGGCGAGUGGCGAACGGGUGAGUAAUAUAUCGGAACGUGCCCAGUCGUGGGGAUAACGUAGCGAAAGCUACGCUAAUACCGCAUACGAUCUAUGGAUGAAAGCGGGGGAUCGCAAGACCUCGCGCGAUUGGAGCGGCCGAUAUCAGAUUAGGUAGUUGGUGGGGUAAAGGCCUACCAAGGCGACGAUCCGUAGCUGGUCUGAGAGGACGACCAGCCACACUGGGACUGAGACAUGGCCCAGACUCCUACGGGAGGCAGCAGUGGGGAAUUUUUGGACAAUGGGCGCAAGCCUGAUCCAGCCAUUCCGCGUGCAGGAUGAAGGCCUCGGUUGUAAC